rnacentral:pre_miRNA from 1 species
AGUAGUAAAGGGUGGGAUGCACUGUAAAGUAACAAAGUGCACUUACUGACUUUACUGCCA